GCAAGUCGAGCGCGGGAAGCGAGCGGAUCCCUUCGGGGUGAAGCUCGUGGAACGAGCGGCGGACGGGUGAGUAACACGUGGGCAACCUGCCUGUAAGAUCGGAAUAACCCCGGGAAACCGGGGCUAAUGCCGGGUAAUACUUUUCUUCGCAUGAAGAUGAGUUGAAAGAUGGCUUCUCGCUAUCACUUACAGAUGGGCCCGCGGCGCAUUAGCUAGUUGGUGAGGUAACGGCUCACCAAGGCAACGAUGCGUAGCCGACCUGAGAGGGUGAUCGGCCACACUGGGACUGAGACACGGCCCAGACUCCUACGGGAGGCAGCAGUAGGGAAUCUUCCGCAAUGGACGAAAGUCUGACGGAGCAACGCCGCGUGAACGAUGAAGGUCUUCGGAUCGUAAAGUUCUGUUGUCAGGGAAGAACAAGUACCGUGCGAAUAGAGCGGUACCUUGACGGUACCUGACGAGGAAGCCCCGGCUAACUACGUGCCAGCAGCCGCGGUAAUACGUAGGGGGCAAGCGUUGUCCGGAAUUAUUGGGCGUAAAGCGCGCGCAGGCGGUUCCUUAAGUCUGAUGUGAAAGCCCACGGCUCAACCGUGGAGGGUCAUUGGAAACUGGGGAACUUGAGGACAGAAGAGGAGAGUGGAAUUCCACGUGUAGCGGUGAAAUGCGUAGAUAUGUGGAGGAACACCAGUGGCGAAGGCGACUCUCUGGUCUGUUUCUGACGCUGAGGUGCGAAAGCGUGGGUAGCAAACAGGAUUAGAUACCCUGGUAGUCCACGCCGUAAACGAUGAGUGCUAGGUGUUAG
rnacentral:rRNA from 1 species